GACGAACGCUGGCGGCGUGCUUAACACAUGCAAGUCGAGCGGUAAGGCCCUUUCGGGGGUACACGAGCGGCGAACGGGUGAGUAACACGUGGGUGACCUGCCCUCAGCUCUGGGAUAAGCCUGGGAAACCGGGUCUAAUACUGGAUAUGACUCCAUGACGCAUGUUGUGGGGUGGAAAGCCUUGUGCGGCUGAGGAUGGGCCCGCGGCCUAUCAGCUUGUUGGUGGGGUGANGGCCUACCAAGGCGACGACGGGUAGCCGGCCUGAGAGGCGACCGGCCACACUGGGACUGAGACACGGGCCCA
rnacentral:rRNA from 1 species